rnacentral:rRNA from 1 species
AGCUCGUAGUAGAAGCUCGGGCUCCGGCCGACCGGUCCGCCUCACCGCGUGCACUGGUUCGGCCGGGCCUUCACCUUCUGCGGAACCGCAUCCCCUUCACUGGGGGUGUCGGGGAAACAGGACGUUUACUGUGAAAAAAUUAGAGUGCUCCAGGCAGGCCUAUGCUCGAAUAGAUUAGCAUGGAAUAAUGGAAUAGGACGUGUGGUCUUAUUUCGUUGGUUUCUAGGACCGCCGUAAUGAUUAAUAGGGACAGUCGGGGGCAUCAGUAUUCAAUCGUCAGAGGUGAAAUUCUUGGAUCGAUUGAAGACUAACUACUGCGAAAGCAUUUGCCAAGGAUGUUUUCAUUUAUCAGGAACGAAAGUUAGGGGAUCGAAGACGAUCAGAUACCGUCGUAGUCUUAACCAUAAACUAUGCCGACUAGGGAUCGGACGGUGUUAUUUCUUGACCCGUUCGGCACCUUAC